rnacentral:rRNA from 1 species
AUUGAACGCUGGCGGCAGGCCUAACACAUGCAAGUCGAACGAGUGGCGGACGGGUGAGUAAUGUCUGGGAAACUGCCCGAUGGAGGGGGAUAACUACUGGAAACGGUAGCGAAUACCGCAUACCAUCGGAUGUGCCCAGAUGGGAUUAGCUUGUAGGUGAGGUAACGGCUCACCUAGGCGACUAUACCUAGCUGGUCUGAGCGGAUGACCAGACACACUGGGACUGAGACACGGUGCAGACUACUACGAGAGGCAACAGUGGGGAAUAUUGCACAAUGGGCGCAAGCAGGAUGAAGCAAUGUCGAGGGUAUGAAGAAGGCCUUCGGGUUGUAAAGAACUUUCAGCGGGGAGGCGUUACACGCAGAAGAAGCACCGGCGAACUCCGUGCCAGCAGCCGCGGUAAUAC